ensembl:lncRNA
UUUUUACAAAGACAAAUAUUCUGCAAUAAUUUUAUUCAUAAUUUUAAUAUAAACAGUUAAUUGUUGAAUAAUUUACACACAGCAAGAUUUUUUAUUUUCAUACCAUUCCAACGUUUUUCUGUACAUGUCACACCGCUUGGCUCUCCUUUUGAAAACAUAGAAAAAAUAAAUUGUCAAGCGUUUUAUUUAGUCAUGGCACAUGUUUGAUCCUGUACAAUAUGUAUUUCUGUUAAUGUGUUGUGGUUGAUGUAACAAAAGUGUGUGUGUGUGUAUAUUUAGACAUGUCCGUCUGUUUGAUGUGUGUGUGUGUGUGUGUUAGUGUGUAAAUGGCGAGAUUUGCAAUGCAUAAAGAUAAUGGCACAUUUGGAUCCAGUGUGAUGGAUGUGGGGCUGGGGCUGGGGUCAGGGAAGCCGGGGCCUUUGGACAAACUGCACAUACAUACACAGGUUGUUAGGCAUACUGGAGUCGACCACUGGACUCUAGAGAAAGGGUGUUGCUAGAGAAAACAUUUUGAUUCGGUUCCUUCACUAUCCAAAUGGCUCUCCAUGAAACCAUGGCGGGUCAUAUCUAGAAGAGGUCAAACAUCACCAUGGUGAUGCCUUCUUCCUGAGCCAAAGGAGUCCAUCCGUCCCCUCCCCCUAAAUCACACUUUCUCUACGACCCCUAAAUUGACUUGUCAAUACUGGUACAUGUCAGUAAACGCCAUUUGCUUUUAGAAUUUGAUUGACACACAAUAAUUUCUAUAACCAAAAUCAACAACACACUUAGACAUCCCUGCGUCUUUAACCAUAUGGGUAUGUUCAAUAUUUGGAUUGAUAUCUUUUUAAACAGUGGUGCGUGUGUGUGUCUGUGUGUGCGAGUUGUGUGUUGUGUGUGUGUGUGUGUGUGUUUCAUUCGUCAACAAUCCAACAGCAAAAAAAAUAAAAAUAAAAACAUAGAAUCGACAGACGGACAUCAUUAGUUACACGGUACAAAAGUAGCGGAAAGUUUUUUUUAUACAUCUUCAUUCGCGCCAUCACAAAAGGGAUCGGGCAGCACUGUUCAAUCAGCCCACCGCUGGGUUUAGACAGGGAUACAUACGGUCCAAGCCAAUUUAUCUCAUUAGCUUAUUCAAAACUCUCCUCACCGUAUUCUCUCUUAAGAAACGUGCAGUGGUCUUGUCCAGUUGUUCACAUAGAAAACAAAAAACGAAAACCAAAAUAAAUUAUGAAAGAAAAAAAAAGAGAAAAUAAAGUUCGGUAUGGGGUUAGGUGGUGACCUCAGGUGGUGUGGUGAGUAGAAAAAAAAUAUUUUUUAAUUUUAUUUAGAAAAAAGUUAUAUACACAUUAAUAACAAUGUUAAAUUUGUAAUGUACAAGAGUAGUAAAAGUUUACAGUCAGAAAAAGUAAUUGAAUUUGCCCACCCUAUUUUGGCAAAAAAAGAAAAGAAAACAUCUCUAAAAUGUAAUACUUUUUCUUUAAAAACAAUACAACGAUACGUACAACGCUUUGUUCUCACCCUGCACUGCAUGACUUAGCGUCCUCUGUCCACUGGGGGCAGAGUUCAACAAAACGAGCCUAAACUUUCCUAAACCAACCAAGUGCUUUCAUUAUUCAACGGGGGAAAUAGAUCUGCUGCUUCUAUUUACAGUUCGAGCUUAUCAAUCAGGAGAUUGGCUUUUUCUUUCUUUUAAAUAAACAAAAACCAAGAAUGGACAAACAAACGCGUUUCAAAUGGAACUGCGUGUCCGAAGCGUCCAUGCACUCCCUUAGUUGUAAAUAAUCAUACAUUUUCACAUGUGCUUUGGGGCGUCGCUGUUAAAAAAAAUAGAUCGAAAAAAAUUAGCUCAAAAUUGGUUUAGUUUUUCAUGCACAAAGCAACUCAGCACAAGCAGAGCAGAGACAUUGAGCUAAACCAAACAAAUCAUAUGUAUACAUCCCAAUUAACAGUAUAACCCAGCCAAGACGCCUGAUUGUCUACUUCUAUCUACGACGACAGAAGGAGCCCAUCAAAGGACCACAGACCAGCGGUACACCGGCGUUUGCAUGUAUCUUAAUCUGUGUUUGUGGACGAAGUGUGAUUAUCUCCAGUGUGUAGCAGAGACGUGCCAGUGAGUGACGGUUUCUCGGGCUACAUGGGGACCGCCUGGGACGGUGGUCAGUCUGAGCAAGGCACUAUGGGUAAGAGGCCCCUGUUUGCGUUGCUACUCCUUUCCUGCGAGACUCCCACCCAGCCACUAGAGGGCAGCCCAAACCACAUCAAACCCGAAGGAUCCCAGGAAGUACUGCUGAUUCUUUUAAUUAUUUUGCGAUGGGGGAAGAAUAGAUAAAGUGUGUUGGUUUUCUUGGUUCUCACACCGUUGUUUGCGUCUGUUUAGGUGCUGAGAGCGAGGUCUGUGUGGAUGGAAAGGUAGGUAUCGCUUCCUCCUCCAACCGCAAAGCAUCAGGCUGCCUGAGACCAAGGUUACAAUCUAGAGUUCACGUCUGUUCCUAACUUCUUAUGGCACACAGGAUUGUCCGAGUCCCCUGCCAAGGUGAGCCGGGGUGAAGGUGUGUGUUUUUGUGUGCGUGUGUGGUGGGAGAGGUCCUCUUUUAAACAUUUGACUGGCCCUUAAAGAGAUGUCCAUGUACUGCUAAGCCUAAGAAUAACAAGAAAAACAUUCAAAAUAUAUAAGCUCAUCUCUUGAUAUUCACAGUAGAAAAAUGUGGACAAACAACCAUAAACAAAGAAACACAGAAGAAGGCCUAAGGUAACCGCAACUGACGGGCAGAGCCAACGACAGAGAGGGAGACAGAGACGGAGCCAACCACAGAGAGAGAGAGUUUGAGAGAGAGAGAGAGAGACGUUUCUUGCCAGGAUAUCAGCUGAGAGCUCUGUUUGAGCCACGAGACCGGGAAGACGUUUGUGUCUCAAUGGCAGCGCCCCAACAGCGUCUCUGGACGAGCCGUGCAUCCUCCCUCGCGCGUCUAGACCCCGCUAACCACAGCUAUGCAUCACAAGAACAGAAUUUGGUUUUCGUUCCUAAUCCCGACGGACGUCAACUCCAACCUCCGCCGCCACCGCUGUCCCCCGAAAGAAACGACAACAACAACAACAACAACAGCUCGAUACGUACAAUCAAGAAGACGCGUGUGGCCGGGAAUCAGCUCCAUGGGCCGAAAUGUCACACACACAAAAACACACCGGGUUGGAGCCAAGUUCAACGUUUCAUAGCAUCUCUGGCGCCACAGGGCAGGGGAAGAAGCUGUUUGGAAGAUGUGCUGCUCUGAGAGGACAGGUCACCUGUCACAUCACUGCACUCCUGUCUGAGUAACGGCAUCGAAUCAGCUCUUAAUCUACGCAGAGGGACAGACCUCAGACUCACCGAGGGUUGUGCUUGAAAACUGCAUCGUUUUACUUCUUCCGAAAAAGCUGUCUUUGGACCACAAUGAUGUCGAUAAUGGGGAGGAAGAGGAGGGUCAAAGGGUCAUGGUGUUGCACGCGAGCACAAACGCGAGCACGCGUGUACACACACGUACACACACACACACACACACACACACGCACAUGCACACACACCGUUGUAGUAUCCACUUCUCUGCCAGGACUAGAUAAGCUCUUGAUGAAGAGUAGGAAGGAAGCAUCAGGGGAAGGGAGUUUGGCCGUGGGUGUUGAAUGGAGGAAGGGGAGGAUCAAGGAGAUUUGGUGUUGCAUUUUAAUGAAGAAUCGAUCAGGUUCAAAAAUAAAAUAUAUUUCUUAAAGGGGGAUUAUUUAUGCUCUCUGCACCGAUUCCUCCUUAACGUUCUGAGGUAGACUCUGGCCAAAACACAAAAACAAUACCACUACUCCUACCACUACUACUACUCUGAAUACUACUCACUAACCAGCACAUUUCAAUCGAAUACUAUACUCCAUUUAUACACUAACCAAACUAGAAUUUGAAUUGACUCAAUAUCUACACCGGUUUGAUUGUUGGCUUGAAAUUCAUACUUCUCCUGUACUACUCUUUGCUAUGAAAUAAAUAAAGAUAUCUAGUAUUUGCAACGACAAAAAAAAAAAACGUGGGCACCCUCUGAAAUAAAAAUUGCAUAUGCGCGCGUGUACACGGUCACAACAUAACAAAGAUAGGUCAAAGGUCGAGCUGAGCGGUCAACCAUUUUACUUUUUGGGGGAGACCCCCCUCUAUACAGGGCUCCCACUGACUAGUAGCAGAAGAGGAAACCUGAAAAGAGGACAGCUGAAUAGCACGAGAAACCGUGGUGUAAACCUUCACAAUAAGAGCGUCUGAGUGUGUGUGUGUGGGGGGGGGACCUGCAUGGAUGACGGGCGGCCCCCCCAUCCACAGUGUUGUCACUACAGCAGCGGGGCGAUACAGCAGUCUUCACCGCAACGCUGCCAAAUCGCUGGCUGCCGCUACCCUGAUAAAAAGGUCUUUCAUAGUGAAGCUACAGUCACACAAUAAACAGUCUUUCACCAGCUGCCACCACCUUCUCCUCCUCCAGUAUCUCCCUGUCUGCUGAGUAAUAAUAAUCCCGGACCCCCC